AAACAAGGCAGCAUAGAAUUUGUAGGCCGUGACCAUUUUGCUCUCAGUUGGGUUUUGAACAUUUAAAUAGUCUUGGUACGACAGAAUGAAGGUAGCUGUGAUUGGUCAAAGUCUGUUCGGAGCGGAGGUCUACCGACUGUUACAGAAAGAUGGGCACCACAUUGUGGGGGUCUUCACAGUCCCAGACGUCAACGGAAAGCCCGACCCCCUGGCUCUGGCAGCAGCCAAGGACAACAUCCCAGUGUUUAAGUACAAAAGAUAGCAGAUGAAGAAAGUGGCCAUUCCAGAAGUAUUGGAGGAGUACAAAUCUGUGGGGGGCAGAGCUCAACGUCCUCCCGUUCUGUUCUCAGUUCAUCCCCAUGGACGUCAUCAACUUCCCCAAGUACCAGUCCAUCAUCUACCACCCCUCCCUCCUACCCCGCCACAGGGGAGCUUCUGCCAUUAAUUGCUGGGGCUGAACAAUUGAACGUACCACCAUCCCAGCCACCACCCCCCCCCCACCACCGCCCCACUCAUCAACAACCCCCGGAACCCGGGCAGCUCUGUGGACCCCCCACCUCCUGGAGCUCCUCGUCGGCGACGACUCAGAAUCAGGUUACCAUCACCCUGACUUUGCUCUGCUACUUUACAAAACGUGGAUUCAAAGAAACCAAUAUGCGUGUUAUCUGUGAGGUAGAUCCCAUUGUCAGAUCUGCGAUUGUAAAGAUACCUGUCUACAAGAAACGGAGAACAAAGAAUUGAAAUAAUACCAAUUAAAGAAUGCUUUAACUGAUAAUUCCGUGAAACUGAAAAAUGUAUAUAUGAACUUAUGUAUACCAGAUUGCCGAGGAUAUAGUGUAACUUCUGAAAUUCUAAUUCAUUGUGAUAUCAACUCAGUAUGAUUUAAAAUAAAAUAUUUGAAUAAAUUUCAAAUUG
rnacentral:sRNA from 1 species